UUCGGGACGCCGGCGAGUGGCGAACGGGUGAGUAACACGUGGAGACCUGCCCUGGGGUGGGGGAUAACAGCUAGAAAUGGCUGCUAAUACCGCAUACGCCUUACGAGGGAAAGAUUUAUUGCCCCAGGAGGGUUCCGCGUCGGAUUAGCUUGUUGGUGGGGUAACGGCCUACCAAGGCGACGAUCCGUAGCUGGUCUUAGAGGAUGAUCAGCCACACUGGGACUGAGACACGGCCCAGACUCCUACGGGAGGCAGCAGUGGGGAAUAUUGCGCAAUGGGGAAAACCCUGACGCAGCGAUGCCGCGUGGGUGAAUAAGGCCUUAGGGUUGUAAAGCCCCUUCAGUGGGAACGAUGAUGACGGUACCCACAGAAGAAGCCCCGGCUAACUCCGUGCCAGCAGCCGCGGUAAUACGGAGGGGGCGAGCGUUGU
rnacentral:rRNA from 1 species